rnacentral:rRNA from 1 species
GACCUACGGGACGCAGCAGUGAGGAAUAUUGGUCAAUGGGCUUACGCCUGAACCAGCCAAGUCGCGUGAGGGAAGACUGCCCUAUGGGUUGUAAACCUCUUUUGUCAGGGAGCAACGCCGGCUACGUGUAGCCGGACUGAGAGUACCCGAAGAAAAAGCAUCGGCUAACUCCGUGCCAGCAGCCGCGGUAAUACGUAGGUGGCAAGCGUUAUCCGGAUUUAUUGGGUGUAAAGGGCGUGUAGGCGGGAUUGCAAGC